rnacentral:rRNA from 1 species
CUACGUGCCAGCAGCCGCGGUAAUACGGAAGGUCCAGGCGUUAUCCGGAUUUAUUGGGUUUAAAGGGAGCGUAGGCUGGAGAUUAAGUGUGUUGUGAAAUGUAGACGCUCAACGUCUGAAUUGCAGCGCAUACUGGUUUCCUUGAGUACGCACAACGUUGGCGGAAUUCGUCGUGUAGCGGUGAAAUGCUUAGAUAUGACGAAGAACUCCGAUUGCGAAGGCAGCUGACGGGAGCGCAACUGACGCUGAAGCUCGAAGGUGCGGGUAUCGAACAGGAUUAGAUACCCUGGUAGUCCGCACAGUAAACGAUGGAUGCCCGCUGUUGGUACCUGGUAUCAGCGGCUAAGCGAAAGCAUUAAGCAUCCCACCUGGGGAGUACGCCGGCAACGGUGAAACUCAAAGGAAUUGACGGGGGCCCGCACAAGCGGAGGAACAUGUGGUUUAAUUCGAUGAUACGCGAGGAACCUUACCCGGGCUUGAAUUGCAGACGAACGAUUCAGAGA